rnacentral:rRNA from 1 species
AUUGAACGCUGGCGGCAUGCUUUACACAUGCAAGUCGAACGGCAGCGCGGGCUUCGGCCUGGCGGCGAGUGGCGAACGGGUGAGUAAUGCAUAGGAACGUGCCCAGUAGUGGGGGAUAGCGCGGCGAAAGCGGGGUUAAUACCGCAUACGACCUGAGGGUGAAAGCGGGGGACCGAAAGACCUCGCGCUAUUGGAGCGGCCGAUGUCGGAUUAGCUAGUUGGUGGGGUAAAGGCCUACCAAGGCGACGAUCCGUAGCUGGUCUGAGAGGACGACCAGCCACACUGGGACUGAGACACGGCCCAGACUCCUACGGGAGGCAGCAGUGGGGAAUUUUGGACAAUGGGGGCAACCCUGAUCCAGCCAUGCCGCGUGCGGGAAGAAGGCCUUCGGGUUGUAAACCGCUUUUGUUCGGGAAGAAAUCCUCUGGGCUAAUACCCCGGGGUGAUGACGGUACCGGAAGAAUAAGCACCGGCUAACUACGUG